rnacentral:rRNA from 1 species
UACAGAGGUCUCAAGCGUUGUUCGGAUUCAUUGGGCGUAAAGGGUGCGUAGGCGGCGCGGUAAGUCGGGUGUGAAAUCUCGGGGCUUAACUCCGAAACUGCAUUCGAUACUGCCAUGCUUGAGGACUGGAGAGGAGACUGGAAUUUACGGUGUAGCAGUGAAAUGCGUAGAUAUCGAGAGGAACACCGGUGGCGAAGGCGGCUUUCUGGACAGUGACUGACGCUGAGACGCGAAAGCGUGGGGAGCAAACAGG